CAAAAACAAAAACAAAAAACAAAAAUAGCUACAAUUCUUAAAGUGCUUGAUCUGUGAAAGAUAAUGCCGAGUGUGUAGCAUUUAUUUUCUACGUCAUUCCUUCCAAAGUCCUGUGGGAGGCAGCUACAUUCCUUGAGCCCACUUUUCAGGGAAAGAGACCAGGAGUCGGAAAAGUUGGGUGACUGACCUGACGGCAAAAAGCCCGUGUGCGGACUCAGGCAGCCUGGGUCUGGAGAUCCGGAUUGAACCACCGGUAUCGUCAACCCAAUAUGUGAUAGAUAUUGCUGCUGUUAUUACUAUUGUGCAAAGGCAAAUAUAAAUUUCUGAGCCCAUCAAUUCAACAAAUUGAGUGCCUCUGCGCCAGGUCUGUGCUAAGUUCACAGACAGGCAAAUAUCAACUUAUUAGAGCGAUGGGCAAGGCUAGCUUCCAUUAACUGGUGAGCUAGGCCUCUUGUAUCUUUCCCUUUUUGAAGACGGACAAACCAAACCAAAGACUUCUGAUAAUGACUCGUUGCAGUUUAUAACAAUUAGAGAUUUCUAAAUGGAAGCCACAGUGGUGAUCAAGGUAUUGAAUGGACAAGUUGUUAGUCUCUGUCGUCUCCUGCACUCUUGCCCAAGUUCUGCUAUUUUGCAAAGAAGAGGAAAUACCUGCCCCCACUGACUUCCACUCCAGGUUGCAGUGUCCGUGGCGUAUGGAACUGGAAGAAUUGGGAGACUUCAUGCUCUAAGCGGGGCCGCACUCUGACAUGAUUAGGCCAGUCUUAGAUGACUGGGAAAAUAAAGUCUUUGGUUUGUCAGUCCCUAUAUGUGGAAUUAAUAAAUGAAGCUUUAAGAUUUUUCUAUUUUCAGGGUCUCUAAAUCUGGCUUGCUUGCUUAUCUGUUAGAAACCUUCAGUUUGAUUCUUUACAUUCAUAAUAUCUAGAAUAAGUAUCCACCUAUAUGCACUGUAUGUUUUAUGUGUGAAAGGUUUUCACGUGAGUGAUUGAAAGAUUCAUCUUGGAGCACGUGAUACUCAGGAGUGGUACAGCAGCUACCGUGGAAGAACACGGCAGAGUAACAAGCCCUGAAAAGACCUGCGCCUCGUGGAGAGACGGGAUGUAAGCACGUGUAGGUCUGCGGGCAGUAGCACCACCACUGCCGGACACGAAAUAAGAUAAAGGCGGCUGGCCGCGGACACGUGGAAGGAAUACAGAAGGACAAAGGACGUUUUCAUAAGACCCAGUUACAGGAAGUGCGGCCUCACGGUGGGAUGGAGAACUUACGAACUCUUUGGUAGCCUCAGGCCGGGGCAUGGGCAGCGGUUAGGGCUCGGCCUGUGGUGUCAGAUAGACUCGGACCAAACCCUGGCUUAGAGCUUAGUAGAUGUGCCAUUUUCGGGCAAGGGAUUUCCAGCCUCAACUUUCUGUUUUCUCAUUUUUAAAAUGGGGAAAAUCAUAGUAGCUCCUUCACUGGGUUGUUAGAAAGAGGAAAUGACUUUCAUACCUAAGUGCUUAAAAUCUGGGCAGUCUGACUCCGACCUUCAGCUGCAAACACACAAACUACAGCUAGGGUCGUCAUUAGUGUUGUUGCAACUGUCGUUCUCACGAUGUCAUGUGAGACAGAGGGAUUAGGGAACCUCCAAACGUGAGAGACAGUCCGAGGUCGUUACAGAAACCUAGGCAUAAAUGAUCCGGAUCUAUAUUAAGGUAGCGGCUUUAGAGGCAGACGUAGAAGGGAAUAGACCACAUCUAAAAGAUGCCGCGUCCUGCAAAUCCAGAAGGGAGUGUGGUGUGAAGUGCGGGUGCGGACUGACACACGAGAGAACAGGACUGCGACCCCCGGUGCUCCGAACUUGGGUGACGCCACUGAACGUAACACUCAAGUUUCCUUUUAUGACGGGAAAAUGAUCAGCUCAGUUUUUGAAAUGUUAGACUUUGUAUGUCAAAGGGAAAUCUCAGUGAAGAUCACCUCUAGACAAUCAACAUAUAGUCAGUGAGAAGUUGAAGACGGAAGUAGAAAUUUGUUCUUGCGCCACAUUGCUAUUGUGUCACUGGAGGAAGCAGGUAGGGUUGGAAUAUUGUCCCCCUCAUCUUAUUACUGACCUAUUUCUGGGGUCCGGGUGACUCGUCACCCUUAGGUGUCUUCGUUUAGAAUAUUUUUAUAUUUUCUGGUUCUGCUUCCAUGUAUUUCCUUAUUUUAAAACUACUUCGGCCUUGUCUGCUUUACUAAAAUAUUACAAAGGUUGAUGAUCUCAUGGCGCAGUGGCCCAGUGAUUCUCUCCAUAGUUUCCGCCCAUUUGAUCAGCGUUAAUGCCUUCAUUACUGUGUAUUAAUAGUUCAUCGAAAUGUUUCUGAGAUUGAGUGUGAUGAUUAUUACCACAUAAUUGUUUCAGCGGCGUUCAGACGGCUGCUGAUGGAGUGUGGAGCACGAACACCAGGCCCUUCCCUUUUCCCUGACACUGACCUUUUGCUCAGGUCAGAGUACAACGUUUUAUAAUUAGCCUUCGAAGCCGAACACCCAGCAGUUGGUAGGAAGCAGCCAUAUCCAUGUAAGAGCCCGAAUAACUUUCAGUGUCGUUAUAGUAACUUGUAAAAAAGGAAGUUCUAUUUUCUUGAGGUAAAUGGGGGUAUUUCAGGGUUUCUCAACUUCAGCAUUAUUGAUAUUUAGGGCUAGAUAAAUCUUUGCUGUGGGGGCUGUCGUGUGAUUUGUGGGAUGUUUAACAGCAUCCCUGACCUCUGCCCACUAAGUGAUGGUAGCAGCUCCAACCCCCAAAAUGUGACCAAAAAAACUCCAGAUCAUGCCAGAUGUCCCCACUGAAAACCAGGUACUUAAAUUCUUCCAUUUAGUGAUUCACAAUGCUAAUUUUGAAUGUGUUUUAAAUCUUUAAUACCAUAUGAAAUAGCACCUGCUACAUAUGUGUUUUAUCACCAAGGGUUCAAGAGAUCCUUGCUUCUCAACAGAUAAUGUGCCCGGUUUGGACUUGGAUGCUUCUACAGUGGAAGCCUUACCAUUUCCAUGUGCAGAACGAUACAGAGAGAAAAGGACAACAGAGACUUGUUCUCUUGUGUUCCCUCUGACAGUGUCUUGCUGAAUGUUCUUAAGCAAAUAUUUAAAAUCUAUUCAACAUUCACUCAUCUGAGACUCAUUAAGUAACUCCUGCGUGCCUCUACUACCGCUGGCCGCUGGCCGCGCGGAGGUGAAUGAGACGGUCUCUCUAACCUCUGAGAGCUCUUGGUCAAGCAGAGAAGCCAGAUAAGAAAACAGUUACACCAUAAUGUGGUAAAUAUGGUAGCUGAGGAUUACAAAACAGAAAGGGUAAUUCUUCUUGAGGAAAUCAAGGAAGGCUUUUCAGUGUAAGUCAAACUAGAACAGACUCUUAAGAUGAGUAGGAAUUUGCCAGACGCAGGAGGAGAACAAGAACUUUGGGCACAGGGAACAGCCUCUGCAGAAGCUCAGAGCCUGGGCUUUCAGGAAACAAGCAGACACUCCCCUGUGCAAGUCUGUGGCUUUGACCAGAUGACAUGGAUAUGCCUGGAUGAGGACCUGCUUGGUAUCCUUGACCCUGCUGGCUUCAGAGCACUGGAUUAGGGGCCAAGGCAAUCUGUUGAACCCCUGUGCUUGGGGAGAGAAGUGUCGGAUUCACCUGUGCUGUAUGAACCAUGGACGUCCCUGGAGAUCUACCAGGGUCUACCAGGAGCUUGAAAAUCACAAGACAGUACCUCAGCCCCGAUCAUCAGACUGUGUGCACAUCCUGCCUGAUAUCAAGCGUGGCCUGAAGGAGCACAUUCAGGUUGCGUCCCCCAGAUCGGGGAAAGAGUGAUACCUGCUUGACAGUGUUUCUACAACAUUAUCUUGUGCUCAGAGAGAGGAUACGUGUCCAUUUCCUCCGGGAUGGCAAGAGUGUGCUCACCGUGCCUGACGAGCCUCCAGAACCCAGAAGGCAGAGAGGCUGAACCGUGAUGACUUUGGCCAUUGAUAGCAGGACAAUACCGGAACCCAGGAAUGCAUCAUCGUAUCAGGCACCUUGAAGACUUGGAAAGGGGCUUUCCUUCCCUGGGGUGCCUACUCCAGAGGGAGACCUAUUUGUCAUGUUGAAAGUUUGCUUUCCAGACGUAUUUUCACCACAGACAUGGCAGAUUCUGAGGUGAAUUUACCCUAAUCUUAGGUUGUACUCUGAGCCAGCCCAGGAUCCCACACAGCAAUAGAAUAUUCCCUACCAUACAAAUGCCCACCUAGUGUGUACAUAGCUCUGGGCUCAGUGAUACUGGAGAUGAGGUCUAAAAUGCAAAAAGCCACAGUUUUCAGGAAAAAUGUUCUGUCCCUCACCUACUUCAGAGCUGGGCUCUCUUGGUGUGUGGAUGGGGAAGUAGAGAUGAGGUCAGGAGAGCCCAGGCCAGGACUGAGCUUUCUGCGUCAAGCUUGGAAUCCAUUUCACACUUCGGUGGUGGGAAGUGACCUGAGUGUUGCGUGGCAGCACACACAUUGCUUUUCCAGGUCUUCUUUUGCUUCCCAGCCUGUUCUCCCUCUUUGUCUUCUUCCUGACAAGAAAGAGGAAGGGGGACAAUAGAUUCGGCUUUACUACUCUCAUUCUGCUUUGAGUACACGGAAUCCUGCAGUUGGGGGACCAGCACCGCUGUACGUACACACCCAUGCACCUGCACACCUCUCACAGCUCGCCUCACCUUCUGUGGGGCGAGAGAGGAAGGGAAAUCCGUUGACCUAUGAAGAAAAGGCCAUUGGGAAAUAGUCACCUUUCCUUUGACCCAGGAGGGCGAACAAGACCCAGCAGCUUGUCUGCUGCCUCUGCCUCUGUCUGCAGCCCUCCGGGCUGCAGGGUGAGCAAAGCCAAAGCAAACUUCCUUCCCGCCUCUGGUCACCUCUGAGAAGCCACAGCACGCCCUCCUUCCUUCCUCCAAGCCCAGACUUUGGAGAUUCCCUAGACAAUACUCCAAACAUAGCCCAACAGAAGGGAGCUCUUUGGUAUUAGAAUAGCAAAUAUGUUUGGAAAGAAUAACACCUUUGGCUGUGAGAAACAGAACAGAGACUGUCCUUUUCAGAGGACAUUCCUUUCAUGUGGACUGAUUCAUUUUCUCUAAUUGUACAGAAACAGUUCUUUACUUUUUUUAAAAAGCAGUUCUUUAAUAAAAAAUUUUCCUUCUCAGAAAAGAUGGAAGACUAUCUUGCUGGCUUGAUGGACUGCAUCCUUCAAGACAAGCCUAGGACAGUGGAGAGGGUAGCCUGAGGAACAUGGUCUCCUUCCCCCAUGCCGACAGGUAAUGACUGGGGACAUGGGGGCUAUGGAAUAGAGAUGAUCCAGGCAGAGUGGCUGAUGGAUGAUUCUGACAAUUUUGUGGUGGUGCCUAGAGAUACAAAACUCAAAUACAGGUAUCCUACUGGGUCAUGUUCUGGAUGAAAGAAAAUAGCUUCAUGGACAUUGUUUUACAAGUUGACGUUGUAAUAGAGAUAAUAGAUAAAAUGCUGAGGCAAUGUUAAAUUUACUGUAGUUUAUGUAUGCCAUGUGUAUGUAAGAUGGUAUCUUCUUUUAAACAAAUAGAAACUGUAGUAUUUAUAGGUAAAGGGCUUUGGUAUAUGUGGCUUGCCCUUUAAUGUUGAAAAAAAAAAAUCCUUCUCUAUCUACCUGUCUGUACAUAGAGCAUAAGUGAGCGCGGGAGUCCAAGGGACCAAUGGUUCAAAGAGAGCAGACCUGGUCAUGGGUGUCGUCAUGCAGCUCUUCGUUGGGUUUUCUAUUAUUGCCAAGUUAAAACAACACGUUGACUCUGCCUUCCUCUCAUCAAGAGGCACACAUCAUCUUUUAAUUAUUUUAAUAUUUUAUUGUGAAAAAUUUUAAACAUGCAAUCAGAGAAAAAUGUAAUGAAUUCUUAUGGCCCACCUUCUACCUUAAAAUUAUUGAUUGGCAUUUGUGACCAUACCUGUAAACCUUUAAAAGAACAUAGAGACGCAGUCCAGUUGACUUCAUGUUCUCCAUCCCUUGGAGGCAGGGCUAAGCCUCGCUUGGACCAAGCUCUCUGACCCUCUUGGGCUCUCCCCGUCCUGUAUCACUUGAGGAAUACACUUUCUGCAGCAGGUUGCCAUAAUGCUGUGGCCUUGGACUCAUCUUCCAAGGCUCUGGGCAUGGGUUUGCCUUGUUUUCUAGUCAGCUCCCAGGUCCCUCUUUAAUGAAUUUCCUCCACAUAACAUGCAGGGAAGUCAUCUGACGGAAAUAAUUGCACUGCACGACAGUAUAAUCCCUUAGUUACCUGCUACCUGCGAGCAUACAAAAGAGAGAGAGAGAGCGCGCGCGCACAAGCAACUGGAAAUGUAAUUAAAACCUCAGCACCCUAUAUAAAUACAUUCUAAUGUUGAUAAGAAAAUGGAUCAGUCCUGAAACACAUCUAAAACAAGAAUUUGGGAUUCCAGUUGAAUAGCACUGAUGGAACACAUCUUUUAUUUUAUCUUUUUUUCUUUUCUAACAUACCACUAAAAAUAAACGAAUACUACAAGCUGAUAAGAGUGGAAGAAGGUAAAAGAUUUCACAAAUUUGGGGAGAUAGAAAUUAGAUUGGGGUUUGGUAACUAAUUUAAUAGGGUGAGAAAGUUAACCUGCUUCAGGGCCUGCCCGGAGGGAUUCAAGACACAAAUCAUGUCAUUCCGCAAAUCUUAGUGGACUCAGGAUUUGCAGGCCCCAGAGAAGGAAAAAUGUGGGGUAAAGUGGGAAUUGGCGUGGAGAGAUUCAAAGAAAGUCUGUGAGAUCAGACCCCGCAGUUUGCCGUGAGCAGCCACCUUGCCUCCAUCUCCGCCGUCUCAUCAGCAGGUCUCUUCCCCCGGGCACGUGUGACCAGCGGAAGUAGGAUCUUCAGUGCCCUUAAGUCUGAUCGGAUUAGAGAACCAAUUCCAGAAAAUCCAGGACAGAUCCAGAGAACUCAACUCCUCUUGGACCGUCUCAGGUACUAAGUUCCGUAUCACUCAGCUUCGGGCCAGAGAAGCGCAAUGUGUACGUUUGUGUGUCUCGGUGCGCACACAGACAGACUUCUAGGGAAGCCGACGUGCACAGCCGUUCGGGGCCGAGCGUGUCCAGACUUGGUGGGGCCGCACCGGAAGACCCUGAGCAGGGCCAGAAAGAAGCUGGCUGUCCAGCGGAGGCUGGCCGUAGGCGAGCAGGAGCGUGGCUCGCGCUAAGGCCGGUCAUUGUCAUCGUGGACGUGCUCGCCUGCGCCUCUGCACUAACCGUCCUGGACUGGGCAGCGCCGUGGAAGGCCGGCGGCAGGCGGGCAGGCAUAUGGACAUGGUGGCCGUGACCUGUUGCCUCUGUACCUGGGGUCUCGGCGCUUAGUUCGCAGGUCUCUCCUGUUAGAAAGAUGAAUUCCGCUCAGAGGCAUGAAAGCAGGUGGGAAGGAACAUUCCUUCGAGAUCCUUAAUGAAUCAGUGACCCGACUGGUUGUCCAGGGCUAGUCAGGGAUGGUGAUAGUUUUGAAAAUGAUGACUGCUCUUUGUCACACGCCUGCUGUGCGCCAUCUGACUGCUCACGUUUCUCCACGGCUCGUGAGAAGAGGCGCUGCUUGCUUUCGCUCCCGUCUGCCUUCCCGGGGAUUUGCACAUGCGCUAACCUCGCGGCCCGGCAGUCCUGUCCCAGGUUUGACCCAGGAGGCGUGGGAACAGGUGUUCAGACAGGAAACCUGCUCGGAAGCCAGAUGUGGUGCGCAUGACGACACAGUUGGGUUCGCUGAAUGUGAGCUUCCUGUCCCGUGCUACAACUGCCCGGGUAGGUGGCGUCUAGCUUUCUGGGCAUCAUCCCGCGUGUCAGGGCUCAGGAGACUCGUGCGAAUGCCGGUGUUCUGGUACUGGUCGUGCUCCGAGUCACAAACUGUCCUUCACUCUCACUCAGGGGUCUCGGGUCUUUUGCUGGUAUCCACGACGAAGUUGAUGACCUCGGAGAAGGUAAACAUGUGAGAGUCUUCAGAGUUCUAGUGCUAUACAUACAAGAUCAGUAAUUACUAUAAUGCUCUUCUGAGGGAAGAAUUAUUUCUUGGAUUCAGAAACUGGGAUUUAAGGAGGCGAAAUGGGCAGAGGUGACCAUUUAUUAGUGGCAAGAGAAGGUAAUAAUACUUAAGAGCUUUGUCUGUAGCCUUGGACUGUCUGUGUUAAGUCCUGACUCCAUCACCAAAUAGCGCCUGUAAGAGGGGACCUGGUUAGGACUGCUACAGGCUCACUUGUCUUGCCCUGAAGGCUUGAGCAUAAAUGUUCAUGAGGAAAUAAGACUUCAUACAUUUAAUAUGAGCUGAAUUAUCUAUUUAAAUGAAUAGGCAAAUUAUCAGGAUCUCUGUUGUCAUUUGUAGAUCUUCUCAUAGAAAGACUGCAACUACCUGAUUUUUUGAAACUUUGAGCUCUGAAGUUUUGCAAUCAAGUGUUUUAACUUUUUACAUUGUGCUUCCUUUCUUAUUUGUCUCCAAAAUUCAAAGGUGCACUAGUAGUGUUGCAGUGGAUUUGUCCUACAUACCCCUCUGACCCUCCAGUUAGGGAAAAGUGGUAAUGAAACGGGAUAGGUUGUUCUUGGAUGGGGGAUAUGCAAGAUGAUAAAACUGCUUCUGAGGAUGUAAUGCCAGUGCUUCUGUUGGAUUCCUGAUUGAUGCUUGGGUCUGAGAGGAGUCUUUCUUUUCUAGACUAUAUUGGACCAUAUCAAGUAAGAAUAAACUUAAGGUCCCUAAAGUCAACAAAACAAAAACUUACAUAAGGGAAGAUCAAGUCAUCAGUUUGAAUUUAAAUAAUUUGUUUUAUUAGAUACGAAGAUUGAGUGAUAUAAAUGUAUGUUUAUUCCACAUACCUAGUGUAUCACCUAGUGUGUAGUAGUAGCUCAGUAAUUCUUGUCACAUAAUUGAUGAAUGAACAUGGAUACACAGGGAUAGCUUUGGCAAGUGGAAAGUGUGGGCUAGAGACAAGUCGGGUCUCCUGUUCGAACUGUAUUUGAACUAUAUGUUCAAAUAUGUAUGUAUUUUACUAUGUAUCAUAUAUUUAUUUUAUCUAGCUAUCAUCUGUCUUUUUAUGAUAUUCAAAAUAAAAAGACCAAAAUAUUGUCUCAAAUAGAUUUUUCUGGGAGGUGAGAUUAGGUAGGCCUUUAACUUGCUACUUUCUGUGCUUAUGCUUUUGGUGGGAGUUGAGAGGAAAUGCAUUUUUAAUAAAAUUUUUAAAAAUUAGAAGGAAAAAAGUAGAGCCAUGCCCUCUCUUCACGAAGCCCGAGUGGAAAUGGGUAAUGGACUUGCUAAACACAGUGGGGAGGCAGCUUUCUAGGUUGACGGGGGGAGAUGCUCCCUCCUCCCCUCUUCUUUCUCCGUUUUCCUUGCUCGCAUCCGGCCUUCGGAGAGGCUUCCAGCCAAGGCCGGUUCCCGAAAGGGUUGGUGGGGUUGCGGAGGAGGGCCAUUUAACCGAGAGACAGAAGUGGUGUAUUUCUAGCAGUUAACUGAAAGCAUUAGCCUUGCUUCUUCCAGCAUUUCACAGCUAAUAAUCUGUAUCAGAGCUUUGAGGUGGAAAAAUAAUUCUGAGAAACUUGGAUUCUUCCGAAAAGUACAAGAAUUAAUUUUUUUUCCUUUAUCCACUGUCCUUUCUUUUAUUUGCAGGUUUUUUUUUUUUUUUUUUUAAAUCAUCUUUGGAGAUGACCGUUCAGAUUCUAGGAAUUUAAAAUCUGUGUUAGGUGUGGGUCAUUAAGGUCAUGAGGAAUCCCGGCACCAGUUACAUUAGUACAACCGACUCUAACGAUAGCUCGAGUCAAACCCUAGUAUGUUUUUACGAGGGAAACUCAUGAGUGUGUACCUGAAAGCUAAGUUGUUCUUAAAACUAUCCCAUAAUUAAUAUCUUCUUGCCAGAGGAGAAAUGCAUUUUACUUAAUUUAGUUUUCCUUACUUAGUGCCUCUUAUUUCAAGUGAAGAUUCCCUAGGAAAGGAAGAAUGUUCUGUUGAGCAUAUUUUAUUGGAUACUGUCAUGUACAUUAUGCCAUCGAGGGUGGGUGUUGGCAUCCUGUUUUACUAAUAGUAAAAUGAGGAUCAAACCCUGGCUCUGACAGCUUAACCAACCGGCUCAGAGUCAAACCACUGGUGAGAGGCUGGGCUGAAAUUGAGGCCCCGUCAGAUCUCAAAGCCAGUCUAGCUCUUUCGCCGGAGCUACACCAGAAUCUCACAUUAGGCAAUUUUAGAGGUCAACUAAACAGUAAUUGAAAAUACUCAGUUUCAGCUUAACUCAGGAUAUAGCAUUGAAAGUAAAACCUCACAUACUGUUUAUUCUCAGCUUACCACAGAUUUAGAAGAGCAGUUGUGUUUGCUGCCACUAACACCAUAAUUCCAGCAAAUUUUCACCAAGUAACUCAAGGAAAAUUUUCUCACUCAAACAUACUCCCUAAUUGAAUAACUAACAAAAAUGAAAUUUAUAUAGAAUUAUUUAAUUAUACCAUGUGUGACAUUUUACACCCUAUGAGGGUCUUUAGUGAAAUAACCUUGUAAAGCUUCUUAUUAUACUAGGGAAAAUGUCUGCACAUGAAAAAGCAGACCCGAGGGUAGACAGGUUCCCGUGGGACUGACAUGUUUCCCCUCAGUUAUCUUAGGUGGUUAGAAAAGAGUUAUUGAUUACAUCAUCAGAGCUUAGGGAAGAUCUAUUUCAGAAAUACCUCCAGUUCCCUGUUACUGAACAUGCCAAGCUCUUUUCUGCCUUGGACCUUUCCACUGGCAGUUCGCAGCACAGGAAUGCCUCCCUGGCUUAUCGUGCGGUUGCCUUCUCCAGCUCUCGGGUCAGCGGCCGUCUCCCUACGGAGGCUUGGGUUGUUUUGCCCCCAGCCUCCAUCCGUCCUUCUUCUCGAGUUCCGUUCUUACCCCACUUUCAAGCCUGCGGACUAGGUGGGGCGGCGUGGGUCAGCAAGCCUCUUCCCUGGCCUUGGCCACCGUGAUCGGUUCAAGGACGGGCCUAGAACCCAGUUAGAGCGAAGGAGAUGUAAGAAGACAUUCAUUAGGUUUUCCGACGAAGAAAAGCUCCUUUCUACUCACCGAAAGCUUUUGGAAGAGACCUCUCUCCUUCCCUGGAUUGUUGGAUGGUAGUUAUGUUUGUGAACGAGAGUGCGUUUGUGUAUGUGUGUUUGUGUGUGGGAGGUGAUGAGGGGUGUGGACUUUCUCAGAGAGGAAAGCAGAGAUGGGAGAUGCGCUGAAGAAAAUGUUCCGGAAUGACUCUGAGGUGGUAGUCUACACCCUGCAGGAAUUUAGACUUAGUCCCAAACAGGUCGGUAAAUUCUCUUUUUUAAACCAGUUUUUUGUUGUUCGUUCCCUCUCUGCCACUACUACUUAUCAUGAACUUUUUUUUUAUCUCCUUCAUGCUACUUAUUAUAAUCUUUAAUUAUAUUCUUGACUUAUUUUCUUAUUUUUUGUCUGUCGCAGCUAAAAGACUAUAAAGUUUUCAGGGCUAGGAACUUCUGUGUCUAGUUCACUGAUUAUCACCAGGUUUUAGAACCGUGUCUUAGCAUGUGGAAAUAGCGUUCAUUGGUUGAAUGGAGUAGGAGCUUUUCUAGAGAUCCAAGAAUACAUUUUCUCCAGUUUCUUGCUCUCACCCCCUUGCAAAAGCAAGAAAAGAGAUAGAUUACAAUAUCACCGCAUGUGCACAUCAGCACGAAUUCUGACAGUCCUUUUCCAAACAGAAUGGAAUAAUUUUCCUGUAGGUCAGCUUUUAACAUGAAAUGUUAUUUUCUCCAGCCGCAGUUGGACCACCAGCAGUUUCAUAGCUCGGUGUCUGACAAACAAAUUUCUCACCAUCUGCUUUUAAUUUUGCAAGGGCCUUCCAAAAGGCACUUUUGAAAACACAUUGAAGCAGAACUUAAGAUAGCUUUAAAAGAAGAGCAUAAAGUUUCUUCCAAAAACAGUGACCCAAAGGGUUAGAAAUUAAUUAAUAAAUACUUUUUGGCAACAAAAACAGCAAAAACAGAAUGACAGAAAGCUUCAUCAUUCUAUGAUAGUUGCAGAUAAUGACCAGAAAGAAAUGAGACAUAAACAUAGUAAAAAAAAAUAUUUUAGAUACCCUGAAAUUUCCUGAAGAAACAUCUUAACAAACACUAUAGAUUUCUAAUCCUACCAGUGAUAUUUGAGCCAUUGCUUUGCCUGUGAUGUAGAAGUUUACAGCAAAGGAUUCUGUUUUCUUUUUCAUACUCUAAAACAUAAACUAUUCACAAAUGGGAAAAGAUAUAUUUUUAAAAGAUUUUAUUUAUUUAUUUGACAGAGAUCACAAGUAGGCAGAGAGGCAGGCAGAGAGAGAGAGGAGGAAGCAGGCUUCUUGCUGAGCAGAGAGCCCGAUGUGGGACUCAAUUCCAGGACCCCGAGAUCAUGACCUGAGCUGAAGGCAGAGGCUUUAGCCCACUGAGCCACCCAGGUGCCCCAGAAAAGAUAUUUUUUUAAAAAAUAUUCUCACAGAGUGUUUUUCAAUUUUGGAGAGACCACAUUAAUUUUGCCAAUUUUUCCAAUCAAGAUCUCUAUCUCUUGAUAUUUCAUUUAUUGAGCAGCUACUCUGUGCUAAGCACCUUGUUAUACUUACUUUUGGACAAGAUGGCAGGACCCCAGCUCUUAUAGGUGCUCAUAAUUUAGUUGGCAGAGUGUACUAAGUGUUCUAACACAUAUUUUAUAUUUUAAAAUGCACUGAUAACAGGAAAUUUAAAAGGUGAAUUGCUGAAAUCUGCCACAAUGUAUAACUUUUGAUGACCCGUCACUGAAGUAUGUGUAUGAGCGUUUGAGAAAUCUAGUUAUUAUAGAGCCUUGGGACUCUAAUAAUAUAAAGGGAUCAUAGAGGUCAUCUAAUCCAUUCCCUGUGUCAAAUAAUAGCAGAAGAAAAUAAUCCUAGAAAAUAAAAAUCCAGUCCAUUUUUAUGUCUUUCUUAAUGUGACUUCCUAAAAAUGAAGACACAUUUGUUUUAGGAUAAGGAGGUUGUAAUGGUACUUUUAAAACAGAUACUCUUGGAAUUCUGCUGCUUUGUUCUUGAAUUAUAAGACUUAAGAGACAAGAAAUUGAUUUUUAGGAAUUUCAAAAACUAAAGAGCUGAGAAAGAAAAAUGUUUUCUAUUUCCAGAAAGAAACAGAAACCUAAAUAUUAAACUAAGAGGCAGUAAACUUUGUGUGGUCUGGGACACAAAACAAGGAUAUUUAACCAACCAAAACAUCUUAAUAAAUGCAAUUAUUCUACCCUGUAAUCCACACAGGCUGUUGGUGUCUUCUUUAUUUGGGAAAUAUGCCCUGUGACUUGUCACCACUGCAGAUGUCCAUUACGGUUCUUCUUUAGAGAAACCUGAUGUAGGGACUCCUCGCACAGAUCCUUGCACCCCUCUUGUCCCCGGCCGCUGGACACAGACCUCGUCUGCCUGCGAUCUCCUCACGCAGGCCUCCCCUUGCCAUUUUUGCUUCUUCUGCUUAGUCCUUGCUCCCUACUGACAUCCCCUUGUUAAGGAAAAUUAUCCAGAGCUUGGAAAUAAAGCCAAGAGAGCGUAUCGUGUCUCCUCCUCCUCAUACAGGGCAGUGCUUAACAAGCCCUCGCCCACCAGGGAUUCCUCAGUCAUCUUGGGAAAUGCACCUGCAUUUGAGGCUCCAAGGACUUAGCUGAUUAAUGGCUCAGGCCUGGGAAGUUACGUGUUAAUUUAGGGGUUUGUUUCCAGUCAAGGUGCGCGUGUUGCUGUGGUCUGAAAGGCAGCCCAGAGGCUAUGGGGGUUAUGGUUUCAUUUUCCUGUAAGACAUUCACCAGUUUACUAUCUAACUUAGGAAUCAUAUUCUAACAUUCUUCCUCAAAAUGUUUAUAAAUACUCAGUUCCUCAAAAUGCUCUGUAUACCAGUUUUACCAUUUUCCUAGCUUUUUCCAUUCAUUGACAGGUUGAGUAAAACCUUUGAUAUAUAUUCAGUUCUUAUUUGUACAAGUCAAGUGUUGUUUUUUUUUUUUUUUAAAGAUUUUAUUCAUUUGAGAGAGAGAGAGUGAGAGAGCAUAAGAGCAGAGAAGGUCAGAGGGAGAAGCAGAGUCCCCGUGAAGCUGGGAAUCCAAUGCAGGACUCGAUCCCGGGACUCCAGGAUCACGACCUGAGCCGAAGGCAGUCGCUUAACCAACUGAGCCACCCAGGUGCCCCUGUACGAGUCAAAUUUUAACUUUCUGAAAACUACAUAUAUUUUUUGGAAGCGUCUAUUGAUUUUUCCAGUGAGGCAUGGAAUUCAGCCCGGCUCACCCCCUCCUAUUUUAGGGGAGAGGCACUAUUUGCUUACUGAUUAAAAUGGAAUUAAUAUGGCCAGCCUCUGGGAAGUUUAUGUGGUCUGCCAGCUCCUACUCUCCUCAAUACUUACACUGGGUUCAAAGGGAAGGUCUUACAUUGAAGGUCAAGUUUAAGAAUCUUUGAGGAGCUUGGGAUAGAGAAUAUUAAUGUUUCUAACACAUUGUGCGUUAAACUGGUGUCCUUUUGGGGUUACCCAGAGGGCUUUAUCACAUAUCUUGAUAUCCAUGGCAAAGUGCAAGCAGAUUCCUACCAACUAUUAUAUAAAAGACCAUUUUGAAUGUAACCGGAUGGUAUGAUCAUGGACAUCUGUCCUCUUUGCCUGCCUGGCAUCUCUGUCUUGAAAUAGUACCUUGGUUUUACUCAAUUACCCUUGGAGUAUUAGUGGGAGUUUGUUUGUUUGUUUGUUUGUUUCUUUCUUUUUUUAAAGAUUUUAUUUAUUUAUUUAACAGAGAUCACAAGUAGACAGAGAGGCAGGCAGAGGGGGGCAGGCUCCCUGCUGAGCAGAGAGCCCGAUGUGGGGCUCGAUCCCAGGACCCUGAUAUCAUGACCUGAGCCAAAGGCAGAGGCUUUAACCCACUGAGCCACCCAGACACCCCUAGUGGGAGUUUCAGUGAGAAUGUCUCAUCAUCUCCUGGGUCGGGGAUGAGCACUCAACUCCCAACCAAGCCAGCUGAUGCUCUGGAAUUUGAACCUUAAGUGAGAAACAGUCAUCUGAAAUAACGACUGUGGCUCAUUUAUCCCAAGGACAGGGGCCUGAAGAGACUGCCAGCUGGUUCCCGAUACCUCCAUCUCCAAAGCUGCCUGGAUCCUGCCCUUACUGAGACCUGGUUCUCCAGCUUUCUUUCUAUUGCGCGAGCUAUCCCGUGACUUCCAGUUUAUUCCUUUUUUUGCUUCUGUUAGAGAGACUAGAUUUCUAGUGUUUGUAAACAGAGAGUGCUGACAGAUUUGGGGAUUAUAUGCGUCUCAUUAAAAUGGAAAUAUCAAAUAUUAUAUUGUUAUUUUAUUGCCUUUUAGAACUAAAAAUAGUAAUUGUAAUAGUUAGUAAGUAGCAUUUACCAAGUGCCUGCUGCUGCCCUAGAUUAACCCUAGAUUUGGUCCUCAUAGUAGCGCCAGGACAUGGAGAAAUGGAGGGUCAGAGAGGUCAAAUAACUUGAUGUAGUUUACACACUGGUAAGGCAUGGUACCAGGAUUUGAACUUUGGCUGUCUGGUGCCACAUCCCUUGCUCUUUUUUUCUUUUUUCUUUUUUUAAGAUUUUUAUUUAUGUAUUUAUUUGACAGAGAGGGAGAGAUCACAAGCAGGGGGAGUGGCAGGCAGAGGGAGAAGGAGAAGCAGACUCCCCCGUGAGCAGAGGAGCCCGACAACGAUGCUGGACUCAAUCCCAGGAACCUGGGAUCCUGCCUUGAGCCGAAGGCGGAUGCCCAACUGACUGAACCACCCAGCAGCCCCUCACAUCUCUUAUUGUUAAUCACAUCUCUCCUCAGAACUGAAGACACCCCGUAAAUUACGGGAGGAGCCACUUUGCAGGUGCCCCCCUGCUGCUGAGGCCUCUUCUGCCCGGUGGCGACUUCGCAUUUCGCAUCUAACACGGUCCGAGAGCUGGUCUGAAUGUUGCGUUUGCUGAAACACUGGCAUGAAGAAGAAUGUUCUCCGCUUUCCUGCUUUUAAGUGGCUCCACAGUGCGGACCAAAGGAGAGCUUUCCGGCCUCCGGGGUGCCUGUCUGGGUUUCUGGAAGGAAUGGCUUCCUCAGCUUUUCCACACUAGCUCUGUGUAUGGGAUUAACAGGGUCAGCAGCAGCUCUGGACAGGGAAUCUGAGUUAAUGUUUUCACAGACAGAACUCUAGACGACAACUGUGGAAUUCAUCUUCAGUUUUCUGCUCCUUCUCCAAAUCCGGAUUCGCUACUUUCUUUGUAUCACUAGUCUUUCCCUAGAGGUCUGGUUCCGAUUGGGGCCCCAUCCAACUGAACUUAUUAUUGAUUGAAGGAAUGACCACAGGGGACACCACGCUAUGUCAACGUUUCCUCUUCUUACCUGCCUGAUAUUAUUACCUGAUCAGGGUGAAUCUGUCAGAGCACCAGCAUCGCUAGAGAACCUUUUACAAACAUGCAGAUUUCUAGGCCUAUGCCAGACCUCUUGGAGGUGGGAUCCAAGAAUCUGAUUUUGAUGUCACAUUUGGAAACCACCAGCACGAAGGGAAGCCUUUGGAGAAUACUUGGGAUCUUUGACCCUUAACAUGGUCCUCAGCUUCUCUGGGCAUUGAUUUCACAAUCUGUAGAAUUGGGAAACAGGUCAUCUCUGUUCACCUCCCAAAAUGUGGGAAAACAGCUGGGAAAACAUUCAGGCAAAUGAUUUACUAUUAUUAUUUUCAAGGAAAGACAAUUUAGUAGGUGUUUGUGCUCUACUAGGGAAGUGGAGCUUGCAAAGUACAAGUGUGACAAAUCACAAAAUUCUCUCAAAUGCAGAUUGUAUGGGACGUGUUUAUACAGACUCAUUGCCAUUGCUGGGCCUGGAUCUAAAAUUAAUCAUCGAAGUCAGUCUGAGGGUACUCUAGGGAGUUCUCUGCCUGCACCACCACUACAGUCCCGACCCCACACAAGGAGGCCUAAAGUUCAUUUAACAAAGGAAAGGUCUUUUGUUCCACAAGUAAAGAGAGGACCGCUCUUCAGUGCACACUCGUGAGAUUAACAGGUUUACUUGGACUGACCCACAGCGGCAUAGACUGCAGCGUCUGCGGGUGCGACUGGAGAGCAGCUCUGGAAGAGGCUCAGUGGUCCCGGGGAGGGGACUGGGGCCUCGGUGGGGUGGCAGGGAGGCGCCGCUCUCCAGCGGGUUAGAAAGUGCCAACUAGAAACAAUAAGGAAAUACGCACAAAUACACACUUCAAAAUCGUUUCUAGGACCAGCUCUGGUGUGACACCUUAUGUUUUUCCAAAGAGGCAGCAACCUCCUCUUUCUCUCAUCAGAUUUGCCUGUCUUUUCUGGUGAAAGUUCAACUAUCCUUAAGAUUUUUUUGAGGAGAUAAGCAUUUAAGUUUCUUAUGUUACAGUUGGCUCCCAUGUGAGGAGACGGGGGAAUGAGGAAGAGAGGCUAGGAACCCAGUUUCUAACUCAGCCUAGAAGCGGUGACAUUGAUAUUUGUCACCUGGUUAGUUGAACGAGUCUCAUUAAAAUUAGAAUUUAGAUUUCCCAGUACAGCCUCACAUUUUUGCUGGGUUCUUUCAAGAUACCUAUUAUUCCCUUGGAAGAAAAAAUUAUAUAAAGAAGUUUGCCAUCAGUUCUGCCAUUUCCCUUUUAAGAAAGAAAUCAUGUAUGUUCUGCUCAAGGUCAUGGAUAUUUUGGGAUUGAAAUAGCCAGCAAUCUUGACAUUUUUGGUCAACUCUUGCAGAAAGGCAGAAAAGCACGUUAGGAAAGAAUCCCAGGAAGUGCAGCUCUGGCUGGCAGAAAGCAAAAAGGAGACAGGGCCUCGCAGACGCCAGCCCUCCGCAGCCCGGGACUCUCGCUGUCUAGGAGCCCUGUGACGUGUCGCAGAUUUCGGGUCCUAAAGGGCUGCAGGCUCACACCAGUCAAAAACAAACACACCCCAAACCGAAAACAACUCGUCCCUGCCCGGAGGUUAGCGUUAAGGGAAAAAACAUUUUGUUCAUCUUCACGUGAGAGUACAAACAGACUUAUUUUGAAGCCAGUUCUAUGGCUUAGGCGUCUGUUAGGGAGACAGAAAGGAAGGAGGGGAAAUGAGCGAAGAAGGGGACAGCAGCUGUCUCUGUGUGUGUUACUUGGUUUCCUUUUACAUUUGUUCCUCUCCCAGGUUUGCUAGAGAGAAAACCACAUACACGACUGAUUUGAUAUUCAUUCUUUUUCCUAGCAAGAGGUCAGAGAAGCUUGUAUAACCCAACUCUUUUUCCAGUAUUACUCCUUCAGCGAAGUCUCCGUUUUGACCUGCGAAUCAGAGUCGCCGAGGGCUUCGGAGGGGGCGCGAACCUUGACACCAGCCGUCCCCUUCCCUCCCACGUGUUUGCUGCUAGUUCUCCGGCCACAGCAGGCGCAGGACAACAGCUGGCUCAGCUCUUACUACGGACAGAAAGAAACGUGUACACUCUGGAUUUCAUUUUCUGCUGACACCAUGUGUUUGAACGACAUUUGGACAUUUUGGGUGGAAAAGGCCUCCUAAAUCAGAAGGUCCGUCCUUCAGCAGUGCAGGCGCAGCACUUGAAAACACACCCUCGGGCGCUGUGGACCAGAGUUCUCAUUUUGUUAGAAAAACCUCACGUCUCUUCUGUCAUGACUGGCUCUUUCCUGUGGGGAAAAUACAAUUUAGACUUUCCCCUAUGUCAUUUUUUGAGGUUAGCACAUGCAUUUUUAUCAUGUGCUCAUUCGUGCGGUUCCGUAAGGUCCUUGGUGAGCUCUUGCUCCCGCAGCGCCGCUCGCCAGUGCCGUCACCCCAAGCAGGGAUACCAUAAGGAAGUCGGUCUGGAGGACUCGGGGAGGGGGUCAUCGAGUCCUUCACUUGACUUUCGGCCAAGCUGCACCAACUAAAUAUCCAGUCUAAGAACGUGUGCUUCCUGUGAAUGGUUUAGCACAAGCCCGUCAUCUACGUAUACUACAGCUCUGAGGCCUUCUGAUAGAGGUUCUAGAGGUCCCGCUGCCUGGGUAAGGGGUUGGCUGGGUGCAGUGGAGCUUUUAGGAUUACACAGUAAUAACCACUUCAUGGGAUUACAGAGGAUUCAAUGAGAGAAGUCGGUAAAGCAUCCAGUAUGUUCCCUGACAGGCAGUACAUGCUCCUUCAAAAUGUUACUUUCUGGGCUAAUUCACCUAGUUUGUCCACAAUCCACUUGAAUUAAUUAUAUUGUCUAAAAGGGGAGCAAACAAAAUCCCCAGUUGGGAAAGGGGCUGGGUUCCCAGUCAGAUAUAAUUCUUGUUUUGUGAUGUUUCGUGGGAUUUAACCUCUAGGUAUCAUAGAUCUUAAAACAAUUAUUAAUGAGUGUCUACAGAAGAAGUUUGAGAUACAGUCUCAGAGGAGUGCAUGGAUUGUGACCCGGUGCGAGACGUACACGAUGUAUUUUCUAUCUGUACUUGUCGAUCUUUUCUUUUACCUGUGACAUCUGUCCCUAGCAGUGCAGAGAGGGAUCACGUUGGAGUCUUGGAAGACUGCCAGAUCACUUCUUUUUGAAGUGGCUGGUGCAGUUUCUGAGAUGAGGGAAAUUCCUGCUUGAAAUCCUGUUUAUUUUUAGACUUAAGUUUGUAUCAUGUGAGUCGAAACCUGGAAUUUGUAUAUGAAAUUGCUCUUGAAGUGUAAGAUACAUAGAGAGCCAGUUGUGACUGGUUUGUUUAAGCCCAGAGCAAGGUAAGACUGUGAGGGGGAGGGACAGAUGAGCCUGCCAGCGCAUCUCAAGACCGUGCAAACCAGUCGGACAUGCUCAUGGGAGCGGGAUGCACCCUGGGGGAAACCAGAUCCAAAAAUAAUGGCCUGUAAGUGUCAGGGUGUAAAGGUGUCUUAACUUGGAUCUUCUGAGGUCGACGGAUUUUGACAAAGAUUUGCAAAAGCACAACUCUGUAUUGUGGAAGUUCAUCUACAAUUAGAAAUUAGGGAUGUGGAUUUUCAUAUGUGGUUACAGUAAGCUUAAAACGGGUUUCAGUCGUCUGACAUUCUACUUGUGAUGAUACAGAACACUGUUCGGUCCUUUCGUUGAUGCCUGAAACGGUGACUGUGGUACAGUCGUAAUGUUUCUCAAGACUCUGUGCACACGCGGGGGUCUGAAGACAUUCUCAGUUCCCUGUGUUUUGAGGGCUGAGCGUGUGUGUGUGCAUGUGUGUGUUUUCAGUUUAAUGAUGAUAUUUAAAAUUGUUGUUUACCCUUCCAUAAAUAAGAGUUUUCUUUUUACAGUGGUGAUUUAUAACUAAAAGGUGCUUUCAUAACUUGUAUCUCAGAUCAUUGUGUUUUAAACCCAGAGCUUGGUGAUUCUUAUAAAGUUAUCUAUUCUUUUUAUUCAAGCAUGAGAAACACUGAAGCUUGGACAGGUCAUUCAAUCCCGAGCCCUAAUUUCUUGAUUUUUAAAUUAUGAUUUAUUGUCUCCUUCAGAAGGUUUCUCUGGAUUAAAUGAAGACAAUAUUUAUAAGUCCUUGGGACUCUGUAGGUCCUAAAUAAAAGGUUAGUUCCCUUCUCUUCCUGAGCUCCUGUUCCAUUUCAUGGGGACAUACACGGGUACAAAACAGAUAGAGAAAGGACUCCAAUUCCAGAUGUUUAGUUCUUCAGGAAGGUAGAAUGGUUUUUUAUUCUAAAAGCACUUUUUUGUAUUAAGAAAUCACAUGCAUUACAUUAUCUUCAUAUGCUUAUGUAAAUUUAAUAAUAAAAUUAAUAAAAUUUAAGUAUAGCUAGUGUAACUUCUCUAAUUUUAUAUGAGAAGUUUGGCACAUAGCCACAAAAUUAAUCAUACUGAUUUCCCACUUUAGGAGAUAUUUUUAUUUCUUUGAAUAUCGUAGUCCUCUGAAAAAAUUGCUUUGGAGGGAUCAAGGAAGGGUGUCUGUAUGUUAUUAAAAUAAGUGUAUAUAUUUCAGUACAAGAGAACCACAUUUGAUCUAAAAAUAAAUGAUUUGAUUUCUAAUA